UACGGAGGGGACUAGCGUUGUUCGGAAUUACUGGGCGUAAAGCGCACGUAGGCGGAUUUGUAAGUCAGGGGUGAAAUCCCGGGGCUCAACCUCGGAACUGCCUUUGAUACUGCAAAUCUCGAGUCCGGGAAGAGGUGAGUGGAAUUCCUAGUGUAGAGGUGAAAUUCGUAGAUAUUAGGAAGAACACCAGUGGCGAAGGCGGCUCACUGGUCCGGUACUGACGCUGAGACGGCGAAAGCGUGGGUAGCAAACAGG
rnacentral:rRNA from 1 species